AGGUCAGGCCUCGGUCCUGGAGAUGCUGGUCAUGGGGUAGGUGGGGUCCUCCUUGUUGUAGAGACCUUUCCAGUGGGCCCUACCUGCCAAAAACACGAAGUAUUUCUCCUCCGACCCCUUUUUUGGGCUGUUUCUACCUCAAAAAGCUCAUGGGAAGCCCACAACUCCCACCCUUCCUUGUUUUUUGGGGGGGAAAGUUCAAGAUUUUGGGGUUCCCCCAUCUAAGGACGUGCCCUCAACCCAUCACCAUCUCCUUGCUGUGCCCCUAAAAUGAUUCCGUACGUCAUUUUUACCGUUUUUAACCCAUUUUUGCUCACCUCUCCUCCUCUGGCAGAAGUAGACGGCCAAGAGCAGCCCCAGGAGGAGCACGGCGGCGGCGGCGGCGCACCCGGCCACCAGCGCGACGGGCGGAGCCGGGGCUGUCC